GGGAGCGCGCACGCUUUGUAAACAGCCGCUCGCAUCACAUGACCUGUGCGCGUGAGUGAUCUUUCUUUUGCUCGCGUGAAGACAGCUGUUUUUAUCAGUCCUGCUGCUGCUUCUCGAUUCUAAGAUCACAUAUGCAUACUGGGCUAUCUUUAUUGUCAAACCCUGCUUUUUAGAAGGCUACAAUUUGAAAAGUGUUUCCCACCAGGAGCGUCUGUCUUACCCGCCGCUGCUGAAAUAUAUACAUCCGCAUUCUUCCUGUUUAUGUAUAUCCUGAAAUGGCGCUGACAUGAAUAUUCAUGAGAUUCUCCUGACUGUGGGCGUGUCCUCGAGACAACACUGGAGCUGAAGAAAUCUGUGCAGCUUCUCUGAGCACGGGUGUGUUGAAGGAAGAUUUCGAGAAAGUUUUAAGAAAACAAAUGAGUAUUUGAGCUAUAAAAUAAGUAUAUAAAUAAGAUUAUGGGUCUAUAUAUGAAUACAGCACUUACAAAUCUCUGUGUUAGUUCAUAUAUUCUAUAGGACACUUUACAAUACAUUAGAUCAGUCAGUACUGGAACUGAUAUAACAAGCAACUCAAGAUGAUCAGACAUUUCCAUGUUCAUCAUCACAUUCUAGUAUCAUCACCAUGUCUCAGGAUCUGCAGUGGGACAUUCACAUCGACCCUAUCGUAAAGAAAGCCCAGCAGAGACUGUACUUCCUUCGUCAGCUGAAGAAGUUUAACCUGCCACAGGAGCUGCUCGUACAGUUCUACUCGGCUGUCAUCCAAUCCAUCCUCUGCACUUCCAUCACCGUCUGGUUCGGCCAAAACCUUCCUCCGUAGACUACAGCAAAUAUAACGUUAAAUUGAAUGAUUGAUUCUGACAAUAUCAGGCAUCAUUCA